rnacentral:ncRNA from 1 species
UCGAUCGUGAGGUCGAAUCUGAAGGAAGUCGGCGGCAAAUCUCCGGUCCGAGGAACACGAAUCUCAUAUCAGGCUAACGUUCGUUGGAUGAGGCUGCAUUACAAGUCAAAGUCCUUACUGCCGAAGGCGAAUGGAAGUAAAUGAGGCGGGUAGAUGGAGAGGAAGAUAGCGUU